GGAUAUUUGCUCUUUUAGUUAUUGUCUAGAAGGUUUUCUGUAAAAGAGAACCCCA
rnacentral:snRNA from 1 species